AGUGAGAGUUAGGGAGGGAGUGACUAGUGACAGAGAGAGGGAUGGGGUGACUAGUGACAGUCACCCCCUCCCUCACUCUGUCACUAGUCACUCCCUCCCUAACUCUCACUGU